AUAUUUGGCCUUGUUGAUGAGCUUGGUAUCGCUCCUUUCACAAACUGGACAGCACCUGCUCAUUAUUCAGUUGACGGGUUGGAGGUAGAUAAUACAUGAUAAUUUUUUCAAUCAUUGAUGAAAUACCGAGACUCUCUGAUUGAUAAAUUAAUUUCCAAUAGUUCCAAGUUUCAUAUUAGUCCAUGUACAUUUAUGUGUUCUUUGAUCUUACAGUUAAUUAGCUUUGAGGCUUGUUACUUUGAAUUGUGUUGUGAAUCGUGAUGUGAUGUAGUUCUUGUGUAGGUAAAAUUUCCACUAUUCCAAGAUCUGCCUCAACUGCCAACGCCUCUCGGAACCUUAAUUUAUCCAGAAGUAUGGAUAGCUUCAAGUUUUCAUGACUUCACAAUUAAUUGCAUAUUUUAAAAUGGUCUUAUGAAAAUCACCCUUUUGGUUCUUUUGGUCACAGUUCCCCCAGCUCCCGUUGGUGGAUAGGUUAACAUCACUUCCUUUGAUGGCUGCAGGUGCAUUUCUUUCACAUAUCUUUCAAUAUAGAUAGUUCACGAUGUGUAGAAAAAUUUGACAUUAAAAAUGAAAUUUCCAACUAAAGCAUUCUCAACUGGUUGAGGUAGAUUUUCUUGACCAAAAGGUCAACAUGUUCGAUUCCCCCCUUUGGUUAGUUCCUAGUAUGCUUUCUUGUGUGAAAAAGAACAUAAAAUGUUGGAUUUUUUCUAAUACAAUAAGUUAAAGCACGAUUAUAAUUCAUGGUAAUUGUGAUUUUUAAUUGUAGCAAACGCAUACCAUGUACAACACACUAACUUCUAAAUUUCCAAUGCAUUCUUUAUUCUAUUUUGAUCAUCCAUCAUUGAAGGUCAACGCAGGAAUAUAUUUGUUACAAGUGAUUUAUGCAUUUCUCCCACUUCUUUAUUUGGCUGAAUUUGUUUCUUUCAGUUAUUGACUUUGACAAUACGGAUACGGCAUGGAGAAAAUAUGACUCAAGUAAUACCUUUGUCACCUGUGUAGACUCUUGGUAGUGGACUAAUGCAAAUUGAAGUGUCUGAUCAAUAGUUGUUUCUCGCCAAUAGUUACCGCCAGGGAGCUAUUCAGGCAGUUUGGCUGUUCAGAAAAGCUCUAUAGUAGCAUACUCAAUCCAUUGCUUCAAGUAGGAUUAUAUGCUCCAGCCGAGCAGUGCAGUGCUGCAGCAACCUUGGGAAUUUUAUACUACACUAUCCUUGCUCACCAGGUUUGGAGAAUCAAGUUACUCCAACCAACACUCCUGCUUCUUCUGUUGUUAAUAAUUUCAAUGUUCUGUACUCUAAACUCGUGGAUGCAUGCAGAAUGAUUUCAAUCUAGUUUGGUGCCGUGGAACUGCUAAAGAAAUGAUUUUCCAGCCAUGGAUAGACUUGCUGGAGAGCAAGGGAUGUAGAUUUGUUGGGAGUAGAAAAAUAACAGAUGUAACUGUAGAUGAUGAAACAAACUGUCUAUCGGACAUUCUUUGUGGCAGAGAAAGAUAUGAGGCCGAUGCAAUUGUAUUUGCUGUUGGAAUUUCUGUACUCCAAGAACUCAUUCGUAAUUCGUAUGGUUCCAUCUCCCCUUAAACAACAGUGCAGGUUACGUAGUUAUUAUUGUUGCCUGUUUUUGGUUUGUCUAUAACUGUUCUGGUUGUCCUUGUCGCUUGUUCUGUUUAGUGCAGCAUUAUACACAAAAGAGGAGUUCGUCAAGGUUUUAAACUUGAGAAGUGUUGAUUUGCUCACUGUUAAACUUUGGUUUGAUAGAAAAGUAAGUAAAAUGAUAAGAAACUAAUUUCAUUGAACAAACUGCAAAGUUUAAAAAAAGUAUCCUUAAAUUCUUUCUGAAGAAUUCUACAUGAUGGAGCCUUGUUAAUACAAUCUCAAACAGGUAAAUAUUCCAACUGCAAGUAAUUCUUGCUCGACCUUGGAUAAUUCAUUUGGGUGGAGUUUCUUCAACUUAAAUGCCAUUCAAGACGAAUACAAAGACGAAUCAGUUACAGUGUUGCAAGCUGACUUUGUGAGUAUAAGAACACCCUCUCCCGCCACUAGUUUAUAAAUUUUCCUUCUGUACUUUAAAAGGUUACAAUCAUCUUUUCCACAAACAGUAUCACGCCAUAGAGCUGUUGCCACUAAAUGAUGAAGCUAUCGUUGAAAAGGUCAAAUCUUACCUCUCAACAUGCAUUAAAGACUUUGAGAAUGCCAUCGUGGUGAAGAAGGAAAUCGGAAGGUUUCCAGAAUCAUUAACUCACUUCUUUCCUGGUAUAUAAAACCACAACUUACGUUUGGUUCAAUUAUCACUUUGCAAACUUUUUGUUUCAUUUGUGGCUGUCUGAUUCUCCAAAAGGUUCAUACAAAUACAUGAUGCGCGGCUUUACAUCGUUCCCAAACGUGUUCAUGGCUGGAGAUUGGAUCAUAAACCGUCACGGAUCGUGGUCACAGGUUCGUAUCUACAAGUCUUUCCUUUGCUGAUAUGUGAUGAUCAUUUUGUUAUUGGAUGUGUUGAUGACUUGAACAGGAGAAAUCAUAUGUGACUGGCCUUGAAGCUGCAAAUAGAGUGGUGGAUUUUCUUGAAGAAGGAAGUUUUGCUAAAAUUGUGCCAGUAGAGGAAGAUGAGCCUCAUGUGGAGGCUCUUCGUGGUCUCAAUAGAAGGAUUGAUGAGAUUAGAUCCCAACUCCCAUUCAACGGGUUCUUCCUCUAAUGAAUCAACAGAGAAACAAUAAAGUUUAGUCUUAAUAAUUUUGCAAUAGUUUCAAGAAUAGUUACACAAAAGAAAACAUUUGAGGAUUUAAUUAUAAGUAACUUUCAUUUAUUAAAACUCGACCUAUUUGUCAAGGGUAUAUGUCCAAAUCGAGUACUGAGUUAUUCUUAUUCUGGCUAGUUACAAGGAUUUUGAUAAUUUGGAUCGGUUUACUUUAACUUCUAUUGAAUAAUAUUUAACGUGCUCUUUGUAAUGAUAAAAAUUAGUUCUAUAUCACUUGGAACAUAUUGUUAAAGGUGAUUUACCCAUAUUCCUAGUGUUUGUGGAGAAAGGGUUCAAAUGUUUACGUCUUAAUUCAACUCAUUGCAUCUUUAUUAUUUAUUUGUUUUUCUAAAAAACAUUGUCCUUCACCAUUGGUUUUGGAUUAUCAUGGUGUUUUGUUCCUUCAACUUUUAAUGAUUUCAAACAUGAGUUUUAAGAAAAAGAUUAAAAACUUCCUAAAUGACGGUAGAUAAAUGUAAAUCGUUAAAACUCAUUUAAAAAAUAUACUUAAACUUUAAUUAAAACAUUAUUUUUAGUCUCAAAUAUUCUCGGAGUUAGAUUAACUCAUCAAAACUAAUUUUAAAUCAAAUUAUAUAGAAUUAACUAAAUUAUGUUUUCUGAUUGUGCGAAUGAGAAAGUUAAUUGGAUUAAUCUAUAAUCUAUUUAUCGCAUCAAUUUAAGUGUUUUCUCGUUAUAUAUAUUAAUUUUUAAAAUACUACGAAAAACUUUAAAUUUCUUAAUAGUUUUCUAAAAUACUAUGAAGAACUUUAAAUUUCUUAAUGAAAACUGUUGUAACUAUAAAAUUGUAACAAAAUAUAAGAAAAUUUUAGAAUCUAAACUUAUAGAUAAUUUUUUUGGUUAUAUUUUUGUAAAUAUUUCGUUGCAUUUCCUAUUUUUAGUAUAUUUAUGCAUUUUGUUUAUAUAGCGUAGAAGUCGCGCCAUGGAUAUAUCCACCGGAUCCGCCGGUGGCGACUGCCGUUGCUGCCUCUGCGCGAUGCAAGCCACCAUAGGAGUUCGCCCUGUUGUAUGCUCGUUGGUGCCCCGAAAUCCCGAUAUCCCGAGACGCUGGUUUGCAUCUUCUAGGGCCUUUUUUAUGUACUAGUUCUUUAGCGUACUGGAUAAUUAGUGAUCGUUUCACUUCUUUGAUUUUAUCGCCGAAUCAAUGUGCCCAGAUAAUUCGUAUGUAGAUCAACAUUAUUGAAUUUCAAUCAAGCUGACGUUAAUCGCACCUCUAAUUCUACCUCACGGAAGCUUAAUUCCUGCUAGAUUAUGGAUAGAGAUGUAGUACAGUGUAGGUACUUAUAGAUUUCCUAUCGUUUUGACUUUGGGGAAAGAGAGUAGGUCUUAGCAUGUGUGCUGGAAGCCUGUAGAGUAUAGGAAGGACCUUGGGAAUUGUACCAUGCUAAUAGAGCGAGAUUCUCAGAGUUCCGACAAUAUAAUUUGUACGGCUUGCGGCUUGAUUUUGUUGGUUUUUGAUCUUGAAAAUGGAGAGGAAUCCAUUAUUGGGUCGGAAACUCACGGUAAAGAUUAGAAGAUGGUUAUGAAUUGAGAACAUUUUAGUUCUUUUUCACAAUUUUGAAGUUGAUGGGAAACUGUGGUUGUUCUUUAUGUACUUGUCUACAAUUUAUGGAGGUGUUCUUAUUAACUAAUAACAUUUUUUAUUUUAGGUAUUUUUCAUCAUUUUCAAGUUGAUGGGAAACUGUGGUUGUUCUUUAUUGACUUGUAUACAACUUUUGGAGGCAUUCUUAUGGACUUUCAUUGUCGUAUGUACGUGUGUCAUCAAACCUUUUGUUCGUUUUUUUUCAGUACUGGAAACUUAUAUGAACCCCUGAACCAUAUCUUUAAAGCCUAAACCAUUACAAAAUACUAUCUUCAGGCAAGUUCUUGUCGCUUUUGGUUGCAGCUGAAAACUUUUGAUGUUGUGUGCUCUGCUUUAUAAAAUUUGAGUUCUUUUUCUGUCUGCUGACUUGUUUCCACUGAUAAAACAAAUAAAUCCCGAAGCAAAAAAUUGAGUUAUUUCUCAUUAAUCAACAUCAGUACGUAGAAUCCACUGGUUAUGAAACCGUAUAUUGCAAGAUUGAUAUGAUUAGAGUACUCGUUUGGAUCUGAUAAAGUUGUUCUGCUUAAGAUUUUAGUGCUUAUGAGAUUUUUUCCCCCAAAGCUGACUAAUAUAAUUUGUGCUAAAAGAGCCUUUCCAUGUGGGCCUAAUUGUUUUUUCACCAUCAUUAUCCAUUUUGUGUUGCUUAAGUUUUUCUGUUCUUUCAUUGAUUGGGGUAGUGCAUUAUUAGGCAGUCCUGAGUAUACUUCACUGGCUCCCUCUACGAUUGAUCUUUUCCAAUUUUCAGAUCAUUUUGAUUCUCAUCUUCUCAGUUACCUUGUUUUGAUCUGUAAACAUGUUCAAAAUUUUGUUGGUUUCAUUUCUAGUUUGUUUGAAUAAAACCAUUUGAACAAGAAACAUCACAUCAUCACACCAAGUUGCCAUUCAAUAAAGUGUUUGUCUAAAAAGAAAAAGGUAAGAGAGAGAAUAGCAAAUUUGCAGGUAAGUUUACUCUAUGAAGAUCAGAGUUCUGAAAGCAGCCCCCCCACCAGGAAAAAAUAGAAAAGAGAAAGCAAAACAAAAAGUGGUACAGAUUUAAUUACAGUCCCCUAUUGCUACUUACGUCACAUCAGAUGUAUUACUGACUUUGUGUUUUUCCUCUCUUCUUUAUCCUCUCUCUCUAUCUCCUUGGAUUUUCCCUUGCAGGAAUGAUAAAUGAAGCCUUUUCAAACUGCAGGUCACUCCCAACCCAACUAACAGUCAUCAUGCAACGCCCAACCUUCUACAGCUUCAAUGGCAGCUUUUGCUAGAGAGAUCAAAGUUAAGGCUUUGGUGGACAGUCCCACCUACAUGUCUAAAACGAGUUGUGCCACUGCCACCAUCUAUGGAUGCUUGGUUGUUAAUCACUUAUUCACCGAAAGAAGAGUGAAUCAAUGUAGAUUUGGUUGUACGGACGGCGACAAUCCUGAGGUGAGUAUUUAAACAAGAAAGAUACUUAAGGAGGACUUGCUACAUCUAUCUUUGUGCAUCACACCGUGGUUUGUUACAUGACAAAUAUUUUUUAAAAUAUUUAUUUUGUGUAUGGAUGAGAGUCAUAGAAAUAGAUUUAUUGAGAGAAUAAAUUUUAAAUUUGCUUUUAUGUGAUAUGAAAAACAGUUAGAAUUUAGUGUCUGAUUUGAUAAAGUUUUAUCAAAUGAGAAGGAAUAGAUUUUAACUUUCUCCAAAUCCGUAGACUAAACCAUUACCAUUUUUGGAGCAACUAUUAGUGCAGUUGGGUCCUUUUUUUCUUUCUUAUUGGUAAUCUAAGUGAAAAUUAUUUGUAAAAGUUUAAUGGCUUUUGUGAAGUUCUUGUAUUGUUAAUCAAAUUCUAAAGGGAAAUCUUGUACUUUAUGUCAAUCAUUCCUUCCAUAUCUGAUGAAGAAAAAAAGGCUAUUUUGCUUUCUACUUUUUACAAGUUUAAGAAACCAAUCUAAUGCUAAAUACGGAGGCAAACAACAUUUGAUUGGUGAGUUUGAAAGAUUAGAGUUUUGAGUAUAUAGAUGUGUUGUCUUUUCUAUUCUACUUAAACUCAUGAUAUAUUAUUUCAGCAUAAAUAUUAAAACAAACAUGUGGACUAAAUUAUUACAAAGAGACCAAAAGUGAUUUUAACCAUAUAAUAGAGUAUCUGAGGCCUACUUUCCAUUUUAUCUGUAUUGUUACAACAUUUCUAAAGUUUAUGUUAUUUUUUGUCUAUCAUCAUUGGCACUUCUUUAAUGUACAUGACACAUGUGACGAUCAUUGAAGAUCUACUUAUGGGAUUAUUGUAUCUAGCUACUUAUGGGAUUUUCUUACAUCCCACACUAUCUUUUACUAUUAUUAUUUAAUUGGACCCGUACAUCUUGCUUCUCUCUUUCAUCUCUACUUUGGUAUUUUUUGGAUCUUUAAGUUUUAAAAUGUUAUAGUGUUAUCCUUACUUUUUGUUUUCAUUUCAUUUAAGGUUUACAUUUCUACCCUUAAUAUUUUACAAAAAUAAAAUAAUUCACUUUCAUAUUUGUAUUCGGUAACUAAUAGUUAAUUUAGAUGAAUUAUAAUUAAAUAAAUUUUCACUAAUCUCCUUGUCACCAUUGCAAUUAAUUUAAAAUAUUUGCAUCAUAACUAUUCUUAAUCAAUCAAAGGAAAAAUAAUGCCAAAAAUCAAAUUUGAGUAAUUUUCACAUAUAAUGUUUAUUUUUAUUUUUUUUUACAAUUUAACCCAAGUAAAUUUUGGAAUUGGAAUUAGAACAUAUUGAUUAUAGUUACUUUUCUUAAAAGUUAAGUUGAAGUAUUGGAAAUCUACAAACUAUGGUCUUGAUUUGAUGUGUAGACAAGUUAAACUCAAUCUUACCACUUUUUACCAGUGAUGGAUGUGAAGGUUAGUUUGGUCUUUUCAUUUCUUUUAACUUGUUUAAAUAUAACUUAGAGAUUUGUGUUUGAGUCACCUUAUUCUUAUUGCAGUGAAAAACAAAAAUAAACAAUGUAAUAAUUUAGAUUUUUUAAGUUCGCUAUGUCAAAAACCAAUAUCAAAUAAUUUAUAUGCAACUUGUUUUCAACAAAAAAAAAAAAAAAAACAAUAUCAAACUUAAUAGAUAAUAUUAAAGUGAGCAUAAUUUAACCCAACUGUAAUUCAUAUACCAAUCUUUUUACACCCAACUUGGGUAGUGAAAAAAGAGAUUAAAAAAUAAUUUAGAUUCUAACUUAACUAAUUUGUUGCAUUUAAAAUCUUAAAGUUGAUCAACCCGAUUUUCUUUUUUUGAUUGAAAAGACGAUAACAAGUACAUGGUGGAGGGUUGAACCUCUAGUUGUUAAGAAUGGAGGUUAUGCUAGUACUGUUGAGUUAAAUUCAUUUUGACACAGUUUAGUUUUAUGUAACUUGUGAUAUUGACUAACUUGUUGCACAAUAGAAUAAAAUGUAGUAUUGUUGUUUGUGCCAUAUUUUUAUGAAGAAAUGUGUUUCGUAAAAUUGAAUUUGUGUUUAUGUUUAUUUGAUGUGAUGUGAUUCGAUAUUUAGAACUACUCAUCUCAUUUACUCUCGAUAGAUGCGUACGCUUGAUGUAUUGAAAUGGAGCGUUUGGACAUUCUUGAGAAAUUGGAAUUUUUGAAGAAUGGUAUAUCCAAUAACUUAGUCUUCAAAAGUGAUUAACUUUAUGAGUACUGUUCGAAAAAUUCUUUUCAACUCCUUGGAAUAUAAAAUUUCUAACCCUUCAAAUGAAUAAUAACUUUUUAUUUAUAAAGUUUUUAGGUGUACUUUGUCGAUUUGAACUUAGUUAGUUCAUACAUCUAACACUUUGACCCAAUUAAUUGAAUUUUGGUUUUAUUUCUAAUAUAUGUAUUCAAUUUCAAUUUAGAACACUUGUCAAUUAAUUGGUUUCAAAUAUGAUGAUUUGUAAUUUCAUCAUUAAUGACAACUUGUGAUUGAUUCAAAAUUUCCCAUUUAACGAGUACGUAUUAAAAAAAUGAACCGUACAUCAUAUGAAGAAAUUUUUGUAUGGUAGUAUAGUAUAUAUAUUCAUUCAAUCCAAAUAAUAUAUCAUGUAACAUAAUAAAUGUUUGACAACAAUAAUAUUAGUCAUACAAAGUUAUCCUACCAACUAAAAACAUUCCUUGUUCCAUUACAAAAAAUGAGAGAUCUUCCAACGCAUAAAACUGUCGGGAGAUAUACAAAAAUGUAUCGAGAGUUUGUUUAUUAUUAUUAUUUUUUAAUUCCCAAUCAAAUUUGUUCUUCUUCCUCCUCUGCAAGAAAUAAAAAAAUAUUGAGAGGAUUGAAUUAUUGCUUGUGUGAAAAAAGAGUCCAAGCAAAUAAACCAUGCAACAGUAAAAUUAGUAGCAUUUUGUUCUUCUGAUAUACUGAUAAUUACAUUGCAUAGUUUAGAUCAUAUAAGAAUGAUGGUCUAAAACUUGGUCAAUAUUUUAUCCAUAUAUCAAGAAAAAACUACCUUGCAUGAUUUUAGCAAUGGUUGUAAGAAUGUUGAUAUGCAAAAACUAAGAUCGAUCGACCAUUCAACGAUGGAACAAAGAAAAACAUCAAAUCUGCAAGAACGCCCAAAGAAAAAUUAGGGCAAAAUUUAAAUAUAGCUUAAACUUACCCGAAGAGAUAGAGGCGGCAACGGUACCGAAAAAGACGAGGACGACGGUGGGUUAUCGCGCCGCUCAUUAUCUUUAGUCUUCUCUUCGCAUACCAUUUGUUCUCUCUCAAACCCCUCUUCGCAUAUAUGUGAAACAAAUUAUAAGAGAGAUUUUAAAUGGGAACUGUCAACACUAAUUUUGCAUCGGGAGAGGACCUAUCACAUAGACUUACUUAAGUUUGUCUGUAAACUACAGAUACUUUCGUACGCUCUCCCAUUGUUAUAUAUACUAAUCAUUUUUUUAUAGUGUUUAUUCAUAGAUUAGUAAAUAUAUCUGUCAACAUCAGCACAAAACAUCUAUAACUAAUGCUUGUACUAUCAAUGUCAAAGUUAAAGGUUCAAUUUGACCAUCCCACGUAGUGUAAAGAAAAAAACCUUGUAAUUAUAUUGUGUGUGAAAACAACUAUUAAAACUAAUACUUAAUAAAAUGUUAACUCUAUCGCAUUGUCUUGAAAAAAACUCUUCGAUUAAGUUUCAAUAUAACUCGUCAAAUAAAAUAAAGGAAAAUUGCGCUAGAUGACAGGAAAAUUUAGAAAAAAAAGUAACUCAUAGCACAUACUUUUUGCAAAUUGCAAACAUGAUAAAUAAUUAGAUAUAUUAGAGCACUAUAAAAAGGCUAUCAAAUUGCGUUAUUCGCUUUUAAAUUUGUUGCAAUUUAGAAAAUGUACUGACAUGAGCCUUAUUACCAUAGUUUUUUUUUACUAUUUUUGCAAAUGUUCAUAAAAUAAACUACAAGUUUUGUAAGCUGAACAUCGAUCCAUUUUGACGUUUCAAUCCAAUAUGAAUGUCAAACAAUCUAAACGUUGACUUAUAUUUCAUACCUAUAUUAUAUGAAUCCCAAAGUGCUCUUAUUGAAUAACAUUAGCUUAGAUAGGGUUCAACUUAGGCUUUUAGAUGAGUCCAAUAUAUAUCCUAAAAAUGUCUUUAAUUCAAGCAUCACUUGAGAUGGUCCAACCAACGAAUGCAAUUUGUGGAAUGCACAACUUACAUACAAGUAUAAUGUCACUAUCAAUCUAAAACAAGUAAAAAAUGCAUCAAUCAUUAUGAGUUAACCUAAUGGUAAAUAAAGUGCACGACCUUGAUAAAAAAAAUGACAAGCUACAAGUUUAGGUUAAUCCUUGAUGAUCACAUACUUAAUAUAAGCUCACCAAGUAACUUUUGGGCACAUAAAGAGACAUUCUACCUCACCACACUCUUCUCAAUUCAAGAUCUAUUAGCUCACCGUAAUAAUUUUGGAUGAUCACAUAUUUUUGGUGUCAUCGGUUAUGAAUCCAAAAGUCACAUAAUUGAUAACAUGAAGUAAACAUUAAAAAAUAGAGAAAAAAGAAAGAAGUUUAAACUAUAGAAAUAAAGAAAUUCAUUGGAAAAAGAAAAACUUGUUAAGAACCCACGAGCAAAACACUCGAAGAACAAUACAAAAUGGUGUGUUCAUUCAAUUUACUAAAGGAAACGUUAAAGUUAAAAAGACAGUGGAAUUGUCGUCGCCUCCAAUAAUUUUGACGAUACUGUCACUCACGCUUGAUAUCGUAUAACCCGACCCACCUAUAUAAUUCCCUCUCUUUCUUCCCUCACUGGCCGCUUCCAACAAAUUCUUUCUUUUAUCAUUGUUCUUCAUUUUUCAAUUCAAUCAAAUUGCGGCCCCUUUUGCCUAUGCCCCUUAAAACCCUUUUUAUCAAAUACGAUUUCCAGUUUUAGUUUUUUUUAUUGGGUUUGUUUUGUUUUUGGAUUCUAAUCGAUUGUUAUGGCGGCGAGUGCAUCUUGGCAUCCUCAGGAAAAUGGGUUCAACGAGAUCUGUGGCUUGCUGGAGCAGCAAAUUUCUCCUACUUCGAAUCCGGAUAAGUCCCAGAUUUGGCAGCAACUUCAGCAAUACUCUCAGUUCCCUGACUUCAAUAAUUAUCUUGCGUUUAUUCUUGCACGAGCUGAGGUUCUUCCAGUUCUCUCUUAUUUUGCGGUUGUUUGAAUGGUCUUGCAAUUUCGCUUAUUGGGUUUUGAUGGGGUUGGCUGGAAUGGGCUGUGUGAUGCUUCAACCUUCUUGGUUUUAAUUUGUGGGUUUGGGUUUGAUAAAGUUUGUAGAGUUGGGAUUAAUUGGUUGAUCAAUUUUUUUAGUACUCUUCUUGAUGCGAGGAGAAUGCUUGUUUACUUAGAUGGAGCCUUCGUGGAUAUUGUUCAUAUUUGUUUAGUGGAAGUUUGAUUUCAUGAGUAAAUUCUGGGUUAAUCUUUUUUACUAUCUUUUCUGUAUUACUUCCCUGUAAACGAAGUCGCUUCUCAUGUAUUUGAUACUACUGGAUUCGUAAUAACGAUUCUGAAGCUUGAUUCCUGGAGGGUAAUCUUCUUUAGUCACUUAGGUUCCUCCGAGUUGCUUUUAGAUUUAGCCUAUCAUUCAUUUGCAAAAUUCUAGUUUUGGAAUUCAGAAAUGGAAUUGAUGUAUUGGAGCUUUCUGCAGGGUAAAUCAGUUGAGGUUCGACAAGCUGCUGGCUUACUUUUGAAAAACAACCUUAGAACUGCAUACAAGUCAAUGACUCCUGUCUUUCAGCAAUAUAUUAAAUCCGAAUUGUUGCCAUGUAUGGGAGCUGCAGACAGACAUAUUAGGUCUACAGUCGGGACCAUCAUCAGUGUCAUUGUUCAACUAGGGGGAAUAUUGGGGUGGCCUGAGUUGUUGCAAGCACUUGUAAGAUGCUUAGACAGUAAAGACCAAAAUCACAUGGAAGGUGCUAUGGAUGCUUUGUCCAAGGUUUUAUUCUCUAUCCUAGAAUAUUAUUUCGUCUAGUUUUAAGAGGUUCAAAUGUACGGACCAAAUUUCUGGUCAUAUUAUUGUUGAGUCUAUAUUCUAUAUAUGCAUGGUGAAGUUCAAUAUUUAGACGAGACUGCCCCUUGAGGGCGGCUUGUUUUGUUUGUAAAUUGACCAAUCUGAUUGUGGCAGAUUUAAACUUUGUGAAAAUGAAAUUUGAUAUUUUGGUCCAUGCUAAAAACCAGGUUUACAAGGACAAUUUAACAGUUUACUUGGCCUUUAACUUUUGAAAUUCUUUAUGCAUUCUCUCAAGGAAGAUCUAGAACAUAGUUUUAUAUUAAAUUCAUAUAGAGACAAUUUGAUAUUUUAGUGUGUGUUACCAAGCUUUGACAUUUAUUUAUAUAUAUUUAUAAUUUUGGCUCAGAUUUGUGAAGAUAUACCUCAAGUGCUUGACUCUGAUGUACCUGGAUUGUCUGAACGCCCAAUCAACGUAUUUCUUCCUAGAUUAUUUCAGGUAUGGUCAUCUUGUACCCCUCAUAUCUGUUUUUCUACUUAUAGUUAUCAUUGACUCAAUUGGCAUUGUAGGCUCUAUCUACCUACUGCAGUUAAGGUCUUUCAGUUUGUUUUUCACUUUUACCUGUAACUCUGUUUCCCGAUUAUUGCGUUUGGGUGUUUUUGAACAGUUCUUCCAGUCUCCACAUGCUACAUUGAGAAAACUCUCCUUGAGUUCUGUGAAUCAGUACAUUAUGCUGAUGCCCACUGUAAGUAAUAAGUAUGUGAUAUACUUUGUCAAUACUUAUUUUGGACCUUGUUCUGGUCUUUGUAUUGAUAGUGGUUCUUACAAUAUGUAUGAUUGCAGGCGCUUUACAUAUCCAUGGACCAGUAUCUUCAAGGUUUAUUUGUUCUUGCAAAUGACUCUACGUCAGAAGUGCGAAAGUUGGUUAGUGCUUUAUUCUAAGUGCAUCUAGAAUAUGUGUUAUUAUAGCUGGUGAUCUGUUUUUUCUUUUGCCUCAAGAGAAAUUUAAUAUGUCGAGAUUGAUACAGUCUUGUCUACGUGUAUAUAUCUCUUGUGCUGAAUGGAAGUGGCUACUUGACCUGUAGUGGGAAUUUUUGUGUCAGUUGUAUUUUUCUUCUGAAUAAAUAAAUAUACAAACAUAUCUUCUCAUGAAGGUUACAAAGUUUGAUUCAUGCUUUAGCAAGUUGGGCGUUAUUGACAUUUAUGUCUCAACUUGAGGGGGACUGUUAGAAUUAGUGGGCUUAAGCCCAACGAAAGAUUAACCCUAAUAUUCUUUCCUUUUUUAUCUUAAGAUCGUUGUCUAUUUAUUUUUCCCUUGUUGUAUCUUUUGUUCAUAUGAGAUAAUAUUAAGAAAUUCAGAUCAUGGUUUUUCUCCCAGUAUUAGGGUUUGCACGUAACUUGAUGUCGUAUUUUCUUUACUGCUUUUAAUAUUUUCUCAUAGAUGUUAAAGAUUUUGCUUUAUCUCUCACCAUUUUCGUUCUCCCAAUUUUCCUUUCUUUUUAGUUCUGCCCGCAAGUAUCUUAUCUUCAAAUAUUUCUGUGUGCAUAAGUUUCAUUGAUUAAUAAAUCCUUUGGUUCCUCAUAGAAGAAAAAUAAUGCAGCCCUAGGAUGUUGCGAUAAACCAUCUAUUUGACACCUAUAAUGUGGGCUUGGAGUAAUCUAGUGUUGAAAUAAUGAUAUAAGUAGAUUUAAGUAAUCUAUUAGUUUAGGCUUUUGGAUUGAUCGGUGAUUUAGCAUUCAAUUAGAGUAGAAGGUUGUGUGUUCAUCUGACCCCCUUGAUUAGUAUUGAUUUUCACUUGGACUUUUUACAAAUUUGUAAGUCUACAAGAGAGGGAAAGUGUUCAAGUAUUGAUAUAAUUAACUUUAUCUAACACAUCAAGUUAAACUUUUGGGUUAAUUGUUGAUUUAACAAGUAGUUUUAAUUCUUCUCUGUGCUUUGCAUCUUUUCCGAGCAGGUUUGCCAAGCAUUUGUGCAGCUAAUUGAAGUACGCCCAACUUUCUUGGAGGUUGGUUUCCUAUUUGCUCCUAGUUGGAUUAUGUAUCAUAUCUUAAAAAUUUCCUGCCUUACGUGCUUUGGACACAAAAAUUAAGUUGGUUUCUGUCUAAUUCCUUCACUUCUUGAACCAAUAAUUUUAUCAUUCUUUAUACUACAUUAAUAUCUUUCUUCAUUGCAUGUUUUUGAAAAAACUGUUUAUCAUGUGGUUUUGCAGCCACAUCUGCGGAAUGUAAUCGAAUACAUGUUGCAAGUUAAUAAGGAUGCUGAUGAGGAAGUUUCGCUUGAAGCCUGUGAAUUUUGGUAAUCGUCAUCUUGUAACUUUACACCUCUCUAUCUAUCUUAACUGGUAUAGCUUGUUACUUGUUUAUACAACUUUAAUUUUGUAGAUGAGUUUGGUUAUUGUUGUCAUUUUUUCUAGUUUCAUUGAUUUCUUUUAUUUUCUCUUUAAUUGUUUGCUUAUUCUUCAUAAUUUUGAGGAAACGGGAAUUAUACUGAUAGGUUUUCUAUUCCAUGAUUUUUUGGACUCUUGGAUAUAGUUCUAUAUUUUAUUAUAAGAACAAACUUCAUCGAUGAAUUAAAUAUGCAAAUACGAAGGGGACAUGUAUUUAAGAACACUAGGAAUUGCGAAAGAGGUGUUGUGGUUGGCCUCUACCAAGGAAAUAGAUUAGUCAUGAAAAGAUUUAGAGAGAUAACUCGAGAGGACGCCACAAGUAAGGCAAGAUCUAAAACUGAAGUCUCCUGACUAUUGUAAAUUUUCUUGUCUUGUUCCAACCGUGCUUGCCGGAAGGUGCUUACUUGUUUCAUUUUGUGUUUUAGUGUUUGUUAUUUUGUGUGUCAUUAGGUUUAAGUUCACUAUCAUAAUAUACCUUCUUGGAAAUGGGUUGACCUAGUGGUAAAGAAAGGAGACAUAGUCUCAAUAACUAACUAAGAGGUCACAGAUUCAAUCUAUAGUGGUCAUCUACCUAUGAAUUAAUUUCCUAAGAGCUUCCUUGACACCCAAAUGUUGUAGGGUCAUACGGUUUGUUUCAUGAGAUUAGUUGAGGUGCGUGGACACUCACGAAUAUAAAAAAAAUACACCUUCCUUUUUGGAAGGCUUCUGAACUGUUGAGUUUUGAUAAAGCUCAUUUUUUGAACGAGUUGAAAACUUUUGUUAGCUUGGUUGAAUGCUCAAUGCUCAUAUGUGCACCUUUCUUCUCUUUUUUAUUUUCUAUUUUUUUAAUCAUGUUUGUUUGUGGCCUUGCCUUGAUAUCCCAAACAAGUAAUUUUUGGCUUUGAGUUCAUACAAAACUAAUUUUCAUGCUACUUGCACAUUUUCUUCACUAUCAAUCUAUAGCAAAAAUUCUGGUUUUUUUCUUUUAGAAAUUAAGAUGCUCAAAAAGCAUUUAUACCCAUGGUAUGCCAUAUUUGCUUUUAGAUAGACCGUUUGAGAAUCCAAAAUGAUUCAGUACAUUGUUUGAUAGUUUUGCCUCAGAUAUGAAAGACACCUUUAAGGUGUUCCCCUCCGUUUGUCUUGAUCCUCAUAAUAUGUUGUGUGGAAAAGGUGGAAUAUAGGUGGGCUUUCUUCACAUUUAGUACGUUUUUGCCAAAGAUCUGUGGGAUAUUUGGUCCACAUUGUAGCCCCCUUCCAUUGAAGGGCCCUUACUAUUAGGGAAAUCAAUUACUUUCACCCAAGGAUACAACAUUAUUUAUUUCAUAGCAUAAGAGUGUUGUUACUAUGUUUUUUCUUCCCCUUGAUGUGAAACAAACCCAUUUCAUUUAUUUUUGAAAUUAGUUACAAAAGAAUAUUCUAUUAGUGAACAAUUACAAAAACACCUUCAAUGUGAAAUGAGGGUGAAUAAGCUGUAAUUACCAAAUGGAGAAGAUAUUUUGCUCCAAGAUAAAGUUUUUUUCCCCUUAUUGUCAUUGCAAAUUCACGGUAAAUCAUGUUCCUAAUGGAUACUCAUGUUUCUUCCGCCCUUGGCCUUUGAGACUGCUAAUGGAUGAUGGCUUCUUUUUAAAAAUUUCCCCCUCUAACCUAAUGAAUAUUUGUGUUGGUUAUUUUCUUUGUUAUAUUUGUUUCAUUUUAAGUUAUGCUUGGCAGGUCUGCAUAUUGUGAUGCCCAAUUACCUCCUGAGAACUUAAGAGAGUUCUUGCCACGUUUAAUUCCAGUAUGGCACAUGCUCAGAUAAAUAUUUCUUCCUUUCGAUACCUUGCUGUUGAGAUAUUUGUAAUGCUUUUUAUGUGCAUGUUUCAACUUCUGUAGGCAUUAUUGUCAAAUAUGGUCUAUGCUGAUGACGAUGAAUCACUUCUUGAGGCUGAGGUGAACUGGCAUACUUAGAUUUUUAUAUUUGUAUAAUUAGGUUUGCCCAUUAGUAUAUUUCAUUAUGUGUCUUCUACUCGUCUUUACAGGAAGAUGGAUCUCUUCCAGACCGAGAGCAGGUACAAUUAUUUUUUCUUCAAUGCUGAUUUUGGAGAGCAUACGUGGAAAAUAUCAGUGUUUCACCACCUUGAUGUUCAUGAUGAGCACGUGCUAUUUACUUAAUGAUGUCAUCUUUAUUAAUAUUUUGCCUGAAUUGUUGCACUCCAGGAUCUAAAACCCCGUUUCCAUUCAUCAAGGUUACAUGGGUCGGAGAAUGCAGAAGAUGAUGUAUGUCAUGUUGAUAUUUUCUUUACUUUUGGCUUAUUGGUUUUGAUCAACAGAUAAAAACAAUUACUAUGUUUGGUUUAAUUAUCUACAUCUUUGCAUAAUUCAGGAUGAUGACAUUGUAAAUAUAUGGAACUUGCGCAAAUGCAGUGCUGCAGCUCUUGAUAUUCUCUCAAAUGUGUUUGGGGAUGACAUUCUUCCUAUGUUGAUGCCUGUUGUCGAGGUAGGCAAAAAUUCCGUACAUUAGCGGACUUUGUUUUCUAUAAAAAAAAUGUCCAGGUAGACAAAUAAUUGGCAAAAGAAGCAAAACUCUGGUGUGUAACAUUUCACUGUUUUUGUUUCUAUAUUCUUUCUAUUGUCAGUCGCUCAGGACAUCAUUCACUGUGAACUUUAUCUUGUAUUUUCCUUCAGUUAUUUGCCCUUUUAUUUAUUUUCUUUCCCUCUACAGUUAUAGGCAUUGUUGCUUUUGUGGCGUGCUUGUCUAAAACUGCUUUCGCAUGACAGUUUAAUCACUUGAAUGAACUUUAGAUUUCUGUUUAUUUACCAAAGUAAAGACUUGAUGUGUAUAUUCAUUAAAUGCCAUUCUUCAUUACUAUUGGCAUUUAUCUUGCUUUGAUGCAUCAUAAAAAAUACCUGGUAUGAGGGAAUUGUUAGUUCUAUGGACUUAUUUGGAUUUUAUAUAUUAUUGUGCCCUAGAAUUCUCCAUAGUUUCAAUUUCUUUCUUGGUAGAUGUUUUAAUUUGAUAUAUGAACUUCGCCGAGAUUUUUAUUAGGCCAAUUUGUCCGCUAAUGGUGAUGAAGCCUGGAAAGAAAGAGAAGCUGCUGUACUGGCUCUUGGUGCGAUAGCUGAAGGUUGCAUUACUGGACUUUAUCCUCAUCUGCCUGAGGUGAUGUGCUCUAUGAUUUUAAUCAGCCAUGUUCAUAACUUUUGGGUUCUGAUUGAUACAAGUUCCUAUAAUUAAUAUUUUCAAUGGAAAUUUGUUGAGUAAAUACUGUUCAUUGUUUUUAAUAGAUCCAUUCCUUUAAUUGGCAGUUUGUGAUAUCUUAUAACUUAAUGUUGCUCGUGUUGCUUUCUCACCUAUAAAAUCAAAAUAUUCAAUGGUUUGUGCUUUUUGCAGAUUGUUAAAUUUCUCAUUCCUCUUUUAGAUGAUAGAUUUCCUCUAAUAAGGAGUAUAUCUUGUUGGACACUUUCUCGUUUCAGCAAGUUCAUUGUGCAGGUAUGUGUUUGUGAGUGUUCAGUUUAUUUUAUUUGGGAAUGUUUAUGCAAAAUUUUGUACAAACUACUGUACUUUUUCUAAAUUAUGUGGUAUUUUGAAUCCUGUGGUUUUAUUAUUCCAUGCCAAAGAUAGAAGCUAAGGGCCCCUGAGAAUAUGAACAGUUUGAUAAUGUUCUCAUGGGACUUUCACGAAGCAUGCGUUUGAUGUGUAUCCUAUUUCACUUUUCCCCCAUCUUAGGGCAUUGGAACUCAGAAAGGUUACGAACAAUUUGAUAAAGUUCUCAUGGGACUUCUACGAAGAUUAUUAGACAAUAACAAGAGGGUGCAAGAAGCUGCUUGUUCUGCUUUUGCAACGCUGGAGGAGGUUCUUCUAUUGAAACUUCAUUUACCUGCUUUUUCAUUAAAAAAAAAGACUCUUCAUUUACCUGCUAAUGAAUUAUUCUCUAUAUAGUUCAUGAUGGGGGUUUAGUAACUUGCAGGAAGCUGCCGAGGAAUUAGCACCCCAUUUGAAAAAUAUAUUACAGCACCUAAUAUGUGCUUUCGGAAAAUAUCAGGUAUCCUAACUAUCUGCCUAAUUUUCUCUUAUAGAGAAAGAGACGUCUGCUACAGACAUUAAUUUCAUAUAUAUAAUAAAUAUAGACAACAGUCCGUCUUUCUUUCUGGAAUGAAAACUAUCUAUGCUUAAAGCUUGUAUGUAUGUUGUGCAGAGACGGAAUCUACGGAUAGUGUAUGAUGCUAUUGGAACCUUAGCAGAUGCUGUAGGAGGGGAGCUAAAUCAGGUAACAUGUGAAUUGUGAUGCUUUUCACCUCAUCAUCUCAUUUUCUUUUGAUGCAUUGUAGAUCGGCAACUUAUUGAGUGUACAAUAAUUUUGAUCUUCUGCAUGUAGUACAUAAAAGACUGACUUCGUCUGAUUUGUCAUGAUUGCAGCCUGUUUAUCUUGAUAUUCUCAUGCCACCAUUAAUUGCCAAAUGGCAGCAACUUUCUAACUCAGACAAAGAUCUUUUCCCCCUGUUGGAGUGCUUCACAUCUAUAGCACAGGUGUUGAUUCGUGUUUUGGCUUAUUGGCUCAUUUUCUUAUGCGUAGUCCCAUUUAUUUUCAAGUUCCCCAAAGGUCAUUUAACAAAUUAUUGAAUUGAUUUUGAGAACAGUGGGUAAAGCUGUGAAAUACCUAUUUAUAUUAUAAAUAAUCUUGUAAGUUUUACACUCUCCCAAAUGUUUGCACUGAAAUUUUCACAUGGUUUUGGUGGUUGGUUUCUGUUUGAAUGUUUUGGAAACCGUUGACAAAAUUUCUGGUGUUUUGGACUAAUGGUUUUUGGCAUAAAAAAAGUGAGCUGGGUGAUGUAUGGUUCCUUAUGUCAUGUAGUUCUCUCUCUCUACUAGUUUUAUACCCCCACCACUACACACACAAAACCAAAUUACAGGUGAGGGAGAGAGUUUAAAUGUCACAAACUAGUUACCGGACUUCCAAAAUUCCGUGUAUUGUGAAAUUCGAUGUUCUUGGAAAUUUAUCUUGACUGGAGUUUGGGGAAAAUGAGAGGAUUCAUUGCGUGAGAAAGCUUUGUUUCUUGCAAUGUUUGUACUUCAUGGAUUCAGCCAGGAGUUGGUUUACUUAUCUAUUAGUCAUAAUAACUGUAAUUUUGAGAAAAACAAUUAAUAUUCUUUCCAUUUUCUAGGCUUUGGGGACUGGAUUUACCCAAUUUGCUCCGCCUGUGUAUCAGAGAUGCAUAAACAUCAUCCAGACCCAACAAAUGGCAAAGGUUUUUCCUGAUUUUUGAUUUUGAAUAAAUACUUAUUUAACUCCCAUUGUUAUACACUGUAGUUUUCUCCUUGUUUCUUUGUCUUUCUUCUUGUUAUAGUAUUAAGGUGAUUAAGCUUUAUUUCAUAUUUGUGCAUAGGGUCAGUUUUCUUUAUUAAUCACCAAUGUGAUAAUGCAAGAAAGGUCCUCAGUAGCUGUGAUAAAACAUGUCUUCUGCCUUUUUUUUAAAAAAAAGAAAACAAACUCAUGCAUUAAUAUAAGUAUACAAUGAGCAAAUGUUAUGACAUUAGAACGAGAAGGAUCAGCAGGUGCAUCCGGGCAUCUCAACUAGGUUGACACCCCAGUAGCACUCUCAUCAUAUUCAAACAAAGGAGUCCAACCUAAGUAACUAAAGAUCAAAAGGCUACAUGCAGCCAAUACAAACCAAGCAACCAUAUGAUUAAUCCGGCUUAAACAUAGCCACUACAACCCAAAAAAAUCUGAAAAAAUCUGAGAACAAUACGAACAGAUACAGAAAACUGGAAUAUAAAACUGAAAGAAGGAGACAGCCAUCAUAUGAGUCAUCUAAAGCCAGAGUCCAGAAUUAGAGCUUCAGUCAACGGUGAAAGAUGAAAGCCUUCCAAUUUAUCAAAAUAUCUUGUAGAGAGAAAUCUUUGAAUUGUUUAUGUGAGCACCGUGAGGAGGCAUUCAACCAAGCCAAUUCAAAUCUAUCCUUCCAGGAGGAAGAUUUAUUAUGGAAGACCUGUUGGUUUCUCUCAAACAUGUCUUCUGUCAUAGGAUUUAACUUUUAUUUCUUUUCCUUAUAAGAAGUAUUGUAUGUUUCUUUCUUCUGUUCUGUUCUGCUCUGUUCUCUCUCUCUCUCUCCCCGUUUUUUAGGAAAAGAAAACUCUUUCAUUGAUAAUUAGAAAUUUUAAAUAAGAAAUUAGGAAGUUACAAAUGGGUGAAAGUCAAGACGUGAGGAGUAUAUGGGUGAGGCCCUCAAUAGAAGAAAUCAAAGAAUCUCAAUAGAAAAAAAAAUCCUCUUUGGUGGCUUUUAUUUCUUUCCCGAUUCUUAUUCACAUUGGUGGUUGAAAGAAAAACCCACUUUCAUUCUGCCUACGAAGGGACUAAACUUCGAUCUCAUUGAGGGCUUUGUUUUCAGGAAUUCUGAGAUUAGUAUUAACCAUUUACAGUUUGUGGGUGAUACCAUCCUUUUCUCCUUACCUGAUGAGGAAAAGCUGGGAAUUCUUUUGAGAAUAUGCAUUCAUUUGAGAAUACAUACGGUUUUCGCAUAAUCACUGAAAGUCGGAACUCAUGGGCAUACACUUAAACAAUAGUACAAUUGCUUCUCUGGCUGCUUCAUUUGGCUGUAUGGUUGGUACUUUGCCCUUGACUUAUCUUGGUUUGCUUUUGAAUGCUAAACCCUUCACAUAUGCUUUUUGGGAAGAGAAGGUUGAAAGGUGCCUUAAGAGUCGGAAUGAAAAUUAUAUUUCCAAAGGUGGUAGGCUCACAUUUGAUCAAAGCCACUCUCAAUCUGCCUACAUAUUUCCUCUCUCUUUAAGAUAUCUCCAAAUCUGUGUGUUGACAGAAUCAAGAAGCUUUGCGGGAACUUCCUUUGUAACGGGCAUAAAGAUAAAAGAGGUAUCCACUAAAUCAAAUGAUGGAAAAUACAAGUCUCAACAUCUGAAGGGGGCCUCGGCUUCACUGAAUUAAACAAAGGAACAAAAGUCUUUUGGUGAAAUGGAUUUGGAGUUAUCAAUUGGAGGAAAAUGCCCUCUGGAGGUGCUUUAUUGAUGCUAAAUAUGAUCACCCCUACAACCACAAAGCAGAUUCUUUAAAAAGACUAAAGGCCCGUGGACCUAUAUUGGAGAACAGAGGAAUCUAAUUCAUGAUAAUAUUGUUCAGAUUGUUGGCAAUGGUGACAAUACAUCUUUCUGGAAUGAUAUAUGGGCUGGAGACUAUUAUUUCAAUAGUGCUUUUCCUAGAUUAUUUGCGCUAGUCCGUUAGAAGGAGGCCGCCAUUGCACAUUGUUGGAACCAGAUUUACAAAGCAUGGGUCCUUGGGUGGAGACAUAUCUUAAUGAACACAAAAUUACAGAAUGAUCUGGAUUUUCCACAUUAUUAUUGCCCCCUAAUAGCCCCAUGGUCGGUGACUUGUGGAGAUGGAAUUUGGACAAAUCUGGUCAGUUUUCAUUGAAAUUGAUCUCUCAUCACCUUUCCUCUUGUGGAAACGAUCAAAAUGCAUUCCUUUAUAAGAACAUUUGGAAAGGACUCAUUCCAAAAAGAUACAGUUCCUCAUAUGGGAGGUCGGCCAUGGAUGCAUUGACACAACUGAUAUCAUUAUCCAAAAGGUCCCUUGGAUUGUGUCUGCCACUAAUUGAUCUGUUCUUCGUUGCCAGUGGUGAAUCCAUCAUGCACUUAUUGAUCUUUUGUAUCUAUGGCUAAUCCUUUUGGAGGAGUAGCUUAUCGUGUUUCAUCUAUAAUGUGAUGUUCCCAAACGAACCCUAUAACUCUUUUGAAUAUGCUUCUUAUGGCCAUCCGUACAAGAAUGAGAAAGCGAUCUUGUGGACUUUCAUCAUCAAAGCUUACUUCUGGCUUAUUUGGAACGAGCGAAAUCACCACAUCUUUCAAGAGAGAAAUGGAUUUCACUCAAUUUUUUGAUCUUUUGUAUGCAUGGAUCAUUUGGUGUACAUUCACCCUCUUAUGUCCCUUAUAAUGGAUUAGUAUUUUGUAGUCUCUCUCGGCACUCUAUUUCCCGUUUAAUAAUCAUACCAUCGAUGAAAUUAUGAUCAAUAUGUUUCUCCUCAGUAAAAAAUGCUAUAAUUCAUAGAUUUGUUCUUUUUUUUUUCUCAUUCCCACUAUUUUCAUGUUACCUUGUACUAAGUUAAGUGCCUGAAGUCUGGUUACUCUUUGAUGAUAUGUGUGGUUAAGUUUGAAUUAUAGCGUUGAUCACUGCUAGCUGCUAUUCUAUGCUUGAAUUGUUUGAUCUAAGAUGUUGAUUUGAUUUCCUAUUGCAGGUUGAGCCUGUUUCUGCUGGGGUUCAGUAUGAUAGAGAGUUCAUUGUGUGCUGUCUUGAUCUUCUUUCAGGACUCGCAGAAGGUCUUGGCAGUGGAAUUGAAAGUUUGGUAAUUAAAUUCUAAACCAAACAUUUGCCUCACCUUUUUCUUUUGUGAUCCUUUUGUAAGAUUUGAAAAGGGGAGGAUAUCAGAUGUUGAUAAAUUUUUUUAGGACUAUUUUAUUACUGUUUUAUUGUAUAUUUCUCUGAUCGAAUGUGACUGCUUUCUUCUAGUAGUAAUUGAUACGACAAUAUAUUCUGAACUUGCUUGCAUGUGGCAUUUUAUGGAAUUCCCCUCAGGUUUCUCAAAGCAAUUUGAGGGACUUGCUCUUGCAAUGCUGCAUGGAUGAAGCUUCUGAUGUCCGACAGAGUGCCUUUGCAUUGCUUGGGGAUCUUGGAAGAGUAAGCAUUUGGAUUAAUCUCUUGGAUUGUUUUUCCUUUGUUCCAUUAUAUUUAGUAGGUUAUUCAAAAUUUUUAAUCGCAAUGAGCCUCUCAGCAUUAAUCGUGCUUGCCUAUUUGCCCUUGAAAAAGUAAUGAAAUGUUCUUCAGUGGAGGGAGGAGGCACAUGAUUUAUAUGCAAGUCUUUGCUGACUACUAGGAACUUCUGUUUCUUGAUAUUUUUCUUGUGUUUAUGGUUUAUUUAUAUUAUGUGGUCAGGUAUGCCACGUCCAUUUGCAACCGCGUUUAUCAGAAUUUCUUACCGCUGCAGCAAAGCAACUGGUAAUUAAGCUAUUUUAUGGCUUACGUUUCUAAUUUGAGGUUAUUUUACUAGUCUUAUACGUGUAAUUUGCACAGGAUACUCCUAAGCUGAAGGAAAUUGUUUCUGUGGCAAACAAUGCCUGCUGGGCAAUUGGAGAAUUAGCUGUUAAGGUAUGUGUAAACUUUUCAUACACUCACAGAGUGCCGUAUAUGAGCUUGUAUGUAUACAUGUCUUCACACAUCCCUCUUAUUGUGACUAUUUAAGUUUAUGUUUGGCUUUGGGAUGAAGAACAUGUAUUAGCAAAAAAAGUUUCUUUUUUCUUUUUUCUCUCCCUCUCUUCUCAUGCAAGUAAAUUUCAGUACUGAUGUAAUGCAUCCGAUGGUAAAAUGGCCUCAACCUGGAAAUUCAUCACUAUUCCCUACUAUAAUGUUAAAGAAAAGGACUAGUUAAGGAAUUAUUUCAAAUCAAUAGCUUAAAGAAAAGGCAGAACUUCAACCUAACAAAGAGGGUCUUUUAUCAUAUUAUCUUUAAAAUGUUGAUAUCAUGUUAACUUUACCUUCACCUAUUAGUUUUAGCUUUUGAUAUUUUGCAAUGUUAUUUCCUCUCCAAUUGAUAUUGAUUCACUUGUUGGAGUUUCUAAAAAUUUCCAAACCCACAAGUUAGGGAAUCUAAAAGUGUCGAUAUAGUAUUAAACUUACCUUUGUCUAUUAGCUUAAGCUUUUGGGUUAAUUAGUGAUUUAAUACUUAAACUUUCCUUUAUGAUGGUGGUUUGAAUUUAAAAUUUAUAGCAUUCCGUUGCACGAACUACAUCAAUCUUGGUGACAGAUGGAAUUUGUAAGCAGUUAUUUACAUGAUAUGGAAUUGUUAUUGAUUCAGGUACGCCAAGAAAUUUCUCCUGUCGUUAUGACAGUGAUUUCAAGCUUGGUCCCGAUUCUUCAACAUGCACAGGUGAUGAUCCCUUUCUUUUGCACUAACAUAGAACACGUCUCAUCAUUUUUGUAUUAUGGCACCAAUAAGCUUCUUGUUCACUAAGAACUAGAAACAUAUGAGAGGAAAGGUAGGUAUAUAUAUAUAAAGAGGAAAGGUAGAUAUAUAUAUGUAGGUUCAGUUCAUGAGAGAAUGUUGUGUGUAAAGAGUUCCCAUUGCAUCCUUAGGAGGGAUUUUGAAAUGUGUUGAUUGUACUUAACAGGAUCAUUAUUAUGUAAUUUCAUUUCUUUGUACGAUGCAGGAGCUAAAUAAAUCUCUGGUAGAAAACAGUGCAAUUACACUUGGAAGGAUCGCAUGGGUUUGCCCUCAGCUAGUGUCACCACAUAUGGAACAUUUCAUCCAACCAUGGUGCACUGCUUUAUCCAUGUAAGGUUCUCUUCUUUACAUUACGUUCUUAGGCUUAAGGAUGUUCUAUUAUUAGAUAUAAUUGCACCUAAGACAUGACACCUCAACCUUGUUACUGAAUGCCAAAAGUUUAUGUAUUCUGUUUUCUAAGUAGAAGUGGCUUAUAGUUGUCUCACUGUUCUAAAGUUAUAAACCAUGGUUGUGAACUUAAGGACCUUCAAAUUAAUUGCUAGGUCAAAUUGUAGACUUCUGAUUGUUUUUGUUUUAAUCACAUCUCUGUAUCUGCACAUAAGUUACUUAACUUAGACACCAGCAUUAGCCAAAUCACAUCUCUGUAUCCCUAGGAAAAACCGAAGCAAUUUUGUUUAUUUAUUUUUAAUUUUAAAUCCGUUGUAUUUUUUUUUUUUUUUAACAUGGGUCAAGGUUUUAUUUUACUGGCAGGAUACGUGAUGAUGUAGAAAAGGAGGAUGCUUUUCGAGGUCUUUGCGCUCUGGUAAGUCUUAAAUUUGUAGCAAAUACUAUACGUGUUUCUGAUUAUUAACAACUGUUGUGUCUUGGUUGGUUUCAGGUUAAAUCAAAUCCUUCAGGGGCAGUAACUUCACUUCCUUAUAUGUGCAAAGCUAUUGCCAGUUGGCAUGUAAGCCUGGAAACUUUAUCAAUAUCUGACAUUGCUUGAUGUUUUCUUUCUAAGAUGAGAUUGUUGCCUGCAGGAAAUAAGAAGUCAAGAUCUUCAUAAUGAAGUAUGCCAGGUUCUACACGGUUAUAAGCAGGUUUGUAGCUAAAUUACUUCCGACUAUUCCCCUACUCCCCUUUUUAAGGGAAAUAAUUUUUAAAUAAUUGGUAUUCAAAGAAAGUAACUCUGGAGUACAUUAUAAACUGGUGGUGUUCCUUUAUGAUGCUAUUUAAGAGUUAGAUGGAAGUGAUGGGCUAGGCUGGCAUAGUUAGCUUUGUGGUUAAAAUUAUAAGGAAAAGAAAUAGGUGAAGAAAAUAAGGACCAAAUUUCCCAAGGACGUCGAUUUUUUUUGUGCUCCUCACCGUUUGGCUUGGCCACAUUUGUGGGCCCUUUUAUAUUAAUUUAUUGGACAGCUGAAAAUUUAGCACUUAGGUUUUAAAGUAUUAGCAGAUAUAACACAAUGCAAAAGAAUUUGCAUAUAUAGCAAAAUUUAGAUCCAACUCUCGAAGUAUCGGUGAUAGACUAUAUUGCCUAUAGGAGUCUAUUACUAAUAGAUUUUUCUAUAUUUUCAGUUUUCUAAAAAUAUUGCUAUACACUUAAUUGUUAGCCUAAACGUGAUAACUAUUGCAAUUAUCCCAUUUUAUUUGUCAUAAUAAUUUUUAUCUUACCAUUAAAAAGAUGGGAAAAGGAUAAAUGUCACAUAAUUGCGAUGGGCGGGGUAAUGAUAAAUGGUAAGAAUUGACAGCUCCUUUGGAGUCUCAGAUUUAUUGACCAGGGGUGGAGGUCUUUGUCAACUGGUUGAUAGCCUUAAAUGGAGGGCAAAAUCAGUAUCUCUGUUCACCAAGAUCUUCAUACUAGUUAUAAAAAUAUAGUAGUCUUAGUAAUUAUUAAUGUUCAUAUCAAAUGUCCAUUUGACAGAUGCUGAGAAAUGGUGGGUGGGACCAGUGUAUUUCGUCUCUGGAACCAUCCGUGAAGGACAAACUAUCAAAAUAUCAAGUAUAGGAUGAUGAUGAUGUUUUAUCAGUUAUCAGCAAGCAUUCUUCUCAAACAUAUGCUUCAAAUUCUGUCUCGAAAACCGAUGGGAUGGGUCGUUUUGUGGCGUUGUCUGUGUGUCCUUAUUAUUGAUGAUUGGAGCAAACUUCAAGUUAAAAAAAAAAAAUAAUCAAGUUUGCUGCUGAGCUUGAAGAAGAUUGCACAUCCUUCUUAAGAUAAUUAUACAGGUUGACUUGGUUGGUUGAGACAGCACUUGAAAAUGAAGCCAGCUGAAGUGAGAAAAAAAAAUGUUGUACAGGGAGAUAUGUUGAGAUAGUGUGGUGCCCUUCUUAUAGUGUUCCCAUUCCUUUUCCUUUUCUUUCAUCAUGAGUCUGGAUUCGUUAUAUCGAUUUUGGGGCGAUGGUUUAUAGGUAGAGAGUCAGCACAUUUUUCUUUUCCUUUUUGAUUUUACGACUUUGGUCCUAUGAUUUUUCCAUUAAUGAAUAGGGCGCAUCGGCGCGAUAGGUUUUCUAUUAUGAAAGAUAGAGCUGAGUUAUUCUUGCUACAUUUAGCAGCUGGUGGUGAUUUGGGGAUUUUUUGUUUGUCUUUGGAAGCAAUAAGGAACCUUCAUGUACUUUAGUUUUCUCAUAUAAUUAAACCAUAUCAUGUUUGUACUAAAACCUCCUCUUUUUGUUUGGGUUUUAUCUUCACAAUCAGCCUACAAAAGCAAAUUAUGAAUAGUAUUGUAGGGUUUGAGUGAAGUUUUUGAGGAAAUGAGGAUGAGUGAGUUCUUAUAGUCUUACAGAAUUGAUGUAAAUCUCUGGGCUUUAAAUUAAAGUUUAUUCUUUGGAUGAAUUGUCACAUUCUCAUCUUACAGUUUACACUUAGAGCCUUUUUUAAGUAUUGCCUUUUCAAAUCUACAAAGAAAUGCUAAUAGAAAUAUUAUGAUUUUUGAGAUAACUAUUGUAAAUUACCAUUCAAUGUUGACUCAAUUGAUACAAAUAGUUUGACAUUCUCUAAUUAAAACCUCAACUUGUACAAACUACAUAAAACUAAUGCUGCCAUUUAGCAUUAUUUAAUUAUGGAUGCUUUGACCAAACUCUUCAUCUGAUCUUCAUCCUUGUAUAGAAUUGAUAUUUGACAAUUGGUUGUGCACUUUAAUUUGUUGCAACAAAAUUUGGAACAUCUUUCAACUAUUUAGUUUUCUUUUUGGUGAAUAUUAUGGUUGUAAGCAUCCUCAAGUUUUGACUCUCUAAGUUUUUUUUUGUCUUCGUACUUGUUCUUCACAAACAAAAUUUUAAAAUCUAAGCUUCUUCACCUAUUUUGUAAGAUUGGUUUGGUAACCUCUUUUGUUUAUGAAAAUUACAGCUAUUUUCUCUCAACUUUUACAAUGAUUUGCAUAUUUCUUCAUUAUAAUGAUUGAACUCUUAACUAAAUUUUAAAAAUAACAAAAAGGUUUUAAAAGUUACUUUUUCAUUUAGUUUUCAAAUUUUGACACUUCUAAAACUGAAAUGAAAUCAAUAACAAAGGAAGAAUUUUGGAGGUGGAAGUAGUGUAUUUAGACUUAGAUUUUAGAAAGAAAAAAAAAAGCAAAAUGGUUUCAAAACGUUUUUUGUUUUAGAAUUUGAUUAAGAAUUGAGUGGUUUUUAAAGAAAUAUGAGAAGCACAUAAUCAAGUGUAAGAGAAAACAAGCAUAAGUUUAAAAAACAAAAUCGUUACCAAACGAGAUUGAUUACAAUCUGUGAAUUUGGGUUGCUUCGAAAUAUUUAAAGCGGUUUUGAUGGAGAGUUUUGUGAUAAAGAAUUGGAUUCAUUUCUUGAAGAAUGGCCUUCACAUUAUGUGCCAAUUCUUUAAUGUUUUCGUUCCAAUGACUCGUAAUAAUGUUUUCCAUUCCUCUUAUAAUUACUGGAAAUACUUCUUCCAUGGCGCUAUAUACCAUCGUCACAAAUGCUUCGCUAUUCCAUAUGUAUAGAGCUCGCUCCGCCACCUGAAUUUAAAAGAUGCCAUUGAUGAGGAGCUUUUGUCAGUAUCAAUAGACAUAGAAACAACCUUGAUUUGAUUCAUUAAGUUAUAUUGAAAAGUUAUUUUAAUUCAACCUCUACUACAAGAAGUAUGCAUUCCCACAAGAGAGAAAUUUUCUAUGAUAAAGUACUUAAAAAACACCCAAGAUAAAUUAAAAAACUAAAGGGAGAAAAACUAUGAAGUAAAUUAGUUUUUAUGACAGAUGCAUAAUAAAACCAAAGAUGGUCCUUUCAUCUUUUUUUUCUUUUUUAUAAUUAUUAAUUUUAGAUCCUCUUUAGCUAUUUGGUUUUCGAUUUUUGAAAAUUAGAUAUCUAUUUCCUCUUCACUUCUUACAACGUAAGCAAAAUACUUGUGUUCGAUCAAUUCCAAGAACACAAAUAAAUUUCUAAAAGCAUUUUGUUUUAGUUUUCAAAACCUGACUUGAUGUUUAAUAAUAUUGAAAAGAGGUUGAUAAAAAAGCAAAAAGUUAAGAGAUGAAAGAUGUUUUUAUAGAUUUUCAAACUAAAAGUCAAAUAGUUAUGGAAUUUGAGGAGGGGAUUCAAUCUUACCAUGGAGUUCAAACUCUUGAAACAUUUGGUCAUGUGUGAACAAAAGGGCAAAGCCAAAUCCCUAUAUAGUUUGGGAUCCAAUUUCUCCACUAAAUCCUCCAAUUCCUCAAUCAACUUUAUCUCUUUUUGACUAUUAGCUUGAGGCCAAUACUUCAUAAUCUUUCUCACUAUGAACCCACCAAGCUCACUCUCCUUCUCCACAAAUUGAUAAACACAAUAACUCAAUUGCUUGUUGAAACUCUGCAUUCCUUUAACCUUAUGUAAAGGAAUCAAUAUCCUUUUCAAAAAAACUUUGUGUUCUUCCUUCAAUGGAACUGCAAAACCAUUGAUUAUGCUUCCCCAAAUCUCAAGCAUCUCAGCUAUCCCAUUAUGCCUCUCUGUUUCAAAAAUAUACUCCAAAAACACACCACUCAUUGCUUUUCUCAUGAAUGAUCUAUACUUUGUGAACUUGUAAUACAUUUGAUGAAAAACAUUCUUCAAACUCUCUCGUUCCUUCGAUUCAUCCGAAUCGAAUAGCGAAAGAAGUCCGAGAAGAAAAGUUUUAUCUAUAUGUUUCUCAAGUGUUUGAGUAUCAAUGUUGAUUACUAGCCACAAGAGGAUAUCAUAAACAACUUCAAGUUGCAGCCAGUUGAGAGAAGGAAUGGUGGAGCAGACAACGACUUCGUUUUCUUCAGCAAGGGUCGAGGAUGUGAUUGGAAAAGCCGGGGAAGGGGGAGGGAGUGGACGAAAGAGAUUAAUGGAUAUCAACGACAUCACCGACGAUAAAACGUCACGGUGUAACGGUUUCUUUGAUGUUUUAAUGACGGUGAAAAGAUGAGUAAGUUUGAAUCUUUUCAAUUCAUGAGAAGUAGUUGGUAGUGCCAUGGAAGAGCAAAAGGAAAUGAUGGAAAGAAUUUCGUCUUGAAGAACAAUAUUAGUUAAGCCAAAGGGUUUGUUGGUGAAUGGAUCAUGAUCAAAGAGAUGUUUUAGAGUUGGAAGAGACUUAGAAAGUUUUGAGAAGGAUCUUUGAGUGUUGGUUUGAGCACCCAUUGAUUAGUUUUUUGAGGUUAGGAAGUUCAUUAGGUUUAGGGUUUAGGAAGAUGAUGAACAGAAAGAGAGGGAGAGGGAAAUCUUGAGUUUUGAUUGAUUGUAUUUGUAGUUUGAUGAAACGGAUAUUACUAAAGUUAUGCAAUGGGAAGAAGAUAAAAAUUCUUAUUGAUAUGAUCAAAUUUGAAAGAUACUUCAAACGGCUUGCAUUGUUUUAUUCACAAGGAGCCUAUGACUCUUACAAAAACUAGGGAUUAUUUGAUUGGUUUUUGCUUCUUUUUAAAUAUAUUUUGUUUUCUUCUCAUCUCUCUCUAAAUCUUCCACCCACUCUUUUCUCUCUAUCUUCUUUUCACCCCGGUCAUGAAACAAGAUUUUGUCUCGCGAGGGCCUUCUUUUACUCUUUGCUGACGUCAAAUUUAAAUGAAAUUAUCAAAACAGGACUUUGAACCUAUUGAAUUCACUUUUCUCGCUCUUUGGAGUGUAAAUCAGUAUUUUGGUAACACGAAAUGGAGUUGCUCGUGUAGCUACCUAGAGUUGAUACAUGGUCUUGUAGAAGUUGGUUACAUCGGAGAAGAAAAACACUAGAAAGAAAAUAAGCAAGGAUAAUUUUGUAAAAUUAGUUGAAACGAGGUAAGCAAUCGAUCACAAUUCUUAAGUUUUAAAAAGUAGGACAAAAAACAUUCACGAGGACCUUGAGAACGAGUUCUUUGACCAAUUUUUCUCAAUUUAUCCUUUCUAUUAUUCUUCAAGAUGUUCUUUUUGUUUGAAGCUCGUUUAAGUAUGUAGUUCGAAUAUCUUGAUUAUAUAAUCUUUAUCAUGAUCUUGAACUAUAAUAAUAAUUUUCCAAACAGUUGGACUACUUGAUGUUAAGUGGGUAUUUUGAUAAGGAUAAAUAUUAUAUUGGUUUAAUCCAUGCCUAAAAUCAUAGGAACAAUUUCAAUAAAAGAUUUACACAAAACAUAGACUUUCUUUGGGUUGGGCUCAUUUAUCUUAAAUGAAACCCAAAAACCACUAAGACAAAUUGUUGCUUGCUCUUUCUUUCUUUGGCUACAUGUGGCUUACUUAUAUGUACUUGGCUAGUCUACUCUUUUUGCUCCUCCACUCAAAAUUUUAUUAGUUUUCAUUUCGUGUUCGAGUUUCAAAAUGUUAUACAUUUAGAAGUUGUGACCCCCAACUUACUUUAGAUGAGAUGGACUAUUAUAACUCACACCAAACUAUUAAAAAAUGUCUUAUCGUAAAAUCAUUGCAAAUAGUGAAAACGGUAGCAAAAUGAAGGUUUUAAAAGUAUUAACUAUAGUUAACAAGGAACUAUAAGAUAGUAUUUAUUAUAACAAGAGGUGGUUAUUAUAGUAUGAUAGGGUUUGAUCCUCACCCUAAACACUCGUUAGUUUUUCAAAUUAAAAUCUAUAGACACUAUUUCUACUCUUGUGAGUUUCUAGUUAUAUAUGCUAUACAUUUUUUACUAAUAUUUUUAAAUUAAGUCAAGUUUUGAAAACUAAAUAAUGUAGUUUCCAUUUUAGUAAUCAUUUUUUUAGUUUUUGAGAAGUUUUUCUAUAAACACUUUUUCUACAUCUAACUUCUUGUUGUUUACUUUAUAUUGAUAUUUUAAAAAAUCAUGCAAAAUUUUCAAAAACUAAAAGAAGUGAUUGUAGAAACUUUUUUUUUUAGAAUUUGGCUAAAAAUUUCAAAACAAUAUACUUACCAAAAUCCAAAAAAAAAAAAAAAACUCAAGAACUUUUAUUCUGUCUUAGAAUUUAAAUUUGAAUUCAAUUGUUAUUUUUGGUUGUCUUCUUUACAAAUGAAUAUUUGAAUUGUUAGUGAUAUUAAUUUAUUAGAUUUUGGGAAAUAGUGUUUAAAUUUUUUUUAAAAAAAAUCUGAUAAAUUUAUCAAUGGAGGCUUUAAAUUUUUAUUCCAAUUAACCUCAUUCAAAAACGUGUAAAAUGAUAUUCUAAGAUUUAUUUAUUUUAAAAUUUUUAAGAUAAAUAAUCUUAACAAUUUCUAAAAACUUAUUGAGUAGCCCAAAUAACAAAUAUACACGUGUUUAAUUAAUAUAUUAUUUACCAAGUAAAACAUUCUAUUAUUUAAAUAUUCAACUUAGCUUAAUCAAAUAACUCUAUUUUAUUCAAACAAAAAGAAAAAUAUCUCUUUCAAAUUUCUUCCAAAUCUAUAGAAAAAGAAAAGAGAUCCAUCAGUUCACAUAUAUGAAUGGAAUCAAUGAAAACACUUGUCCUCAUCUUAUUGAUGCAAAAACCUAUGAUCAAAAUAAUAGUUCCCUAAUAAUAAUUCUAUGUCACAAAAAUUUAUAUUUAAUUUUAAAGUCAAAAUAAAACCAAUAGAAAUUUCCCUUCUCUAACUUAGAAUGUGACAAAAUAUAUAUUGUCAUCCACAGAGACUAAACAUAAGCAUGGACUCAUUUUUCAUUUUCUUCAAAUAAUAAUAACAAUAAUAAUAAAAAGUCUUAAACAUAUUUGUUCGGACACCUCGUUGUUUUACUUUCAGUAACUUCUUAAAAGCUAAUUGUUAUCACUUAUAUAUUCAUCAUCAUCGUCUUAUCUAACCGGUGUGAGACUUUAAUUGUAUUUUCAACAAUUAAUAUAUAUCUAUACAUGUGUAUAUACUUUGAAGAGAUAUCAAAAUGAGUACAGCAUAGAAUUAGGUAUGAGUAUAUAAUAUAGCAUAAUGUUUAGUUCUGCAAAUAAAACCAAAUCCAACUUUAUUAACCAAUUGUUUAAAUAAAUCACCUAACAAAUAUGAUUACAUCUUAUAUUGAUAAUCUAAUCUAAUUUACAUUGAACCUAUAUUAGAUCACUUCUUCUUAUCUAAACAUGUAUUAAAUAUCCAACUUUUUAAGUUUAAAAUAUUGGAAAGGUGUGCAUAUGGAUAUACAAAUUAGAGUAAAUAAAGAAGGCUUAAAAGUAUAGUCACCCACUCCUUUAUAAAUUUAACACUAUGGGUCUUACCAACCGAUUGUAAGUCUCUUGUCUAUAAAGACAUACCAAACAUGGCAUGUGUCGAUAUUUAGAUACGCCACUUGUUUAGAGGAUGUUUUGAUAUAUAAUAAUAAGAAUGAAAAGUUGGAGAGUAUGUCUAAAAAUAUUGAAAAAGUUAAAGAUGAGUUUCCAUACUUUGUAAAGUAUAUUAUUAGUAGUUAUUCAUACGCUUCAAAUUCUUAAAACGUUAGUACAAAGGUAAAGUUUAAAUACUUAUUUUAGUUUAUGCAUGGAAUUUGGAUUAUUCUCAACAAUAGUGAUAAAUGGGCAUUCUUAUAAAGAACCAAGUUUUUAAUCUAAAUAGAAUAGGAUAGCGAUGAGAUGAAGUACUUUUACCUUAAGAUCAUGAUGUUAGAGAUCGGAGGAAAUACUUUUACCUUAGGAUGAUGUUUAAAGUGAGUCAUCGUGAAUGAAAGAGAGUUAUGAUCUCAACCUCAGUCUUUGAGGUCGAGGCGAGUAUGUUGGACUGUUUAGCCUCAAAAGGUAUUGACCUCAGCCAAGUUGAGGCAAGUAUAUAACAAGUCAUUCGACCAAAAAUAUCAUGUCUUUUCAUGUUCUCUUCCUCACUUGGCCCAUUCAUGUUCUCCUUUUGUCCCUCACAUGACUACUAGUACUAUUAUUCCAAUAUUUUGAGUGUAACAAUUAGAUUAUAGGAUGUCAUAAUAAAAAAAUGUUGGGACUCAUAUCCUAUUUUCUUGUAUAGAGUUUAGUAAAUACUCUUUAUUCGCAAUGAAGUGUGACUUAUAAAUAAUAUGUUUUCAUAUUUUAAAGAAAAAUACUUAGGUGCAACAUAUUGAGCAAUACCUAUCUUUAUGCACCUCAUCAAAUUGUUCGAUCAUAACUUAACACAUUUUCAUGUUUCUUACUCAUAACAUUUUGAUUAUUUAACAUUUUUUUUGUUUUAGUGGUGAGUAUAGGAUGCAUCAACAUUACUUUUCUCUAAAUAGCAUCAUAGACAAGUAAGAUGAGACCUUAAUUAUAAUGAUAGAAUUAAAGUUUCACCUACAUGUUGAUAUUUUCAUAGAUAUUAAUUUCCAUUAUAUCGUAACUAAAAAUUCAAAAACCAUGAAAACAUAAACAACAAUUUAUCACUGAUAUAAAUACAAUACAAAACAUAACAGAUGUUUCUUGAAAAUUGAGAUUUCAAUAAUAUUUCCAUUUACAUCGACAAUUUAUUGAGCAACAAUUUUAUAGAUAAUAAUUAAAAAUAUUAGUAACAUUUUUAAAAAUUAUAAAUAUAGCAAAAUCGAAUGAUAGACUUUUGUUAUAUAUGUUUGAAUGGUAGAUCAUAUUUGUAAUAUGGUUUAUAGACUUUGAUUUUUACAGCUAUAUUUGUAAACGUUAGUAAUUAUAAUUGAUAAUCAAGUCCCACCCUCCUACAAAGCGCGUGGUUCCCACGCUCGAAAACUCCCAUCAAAUUCCUCUCCACUCCUCACAACACACACACACACCUUCUCUCCUACACCAUUAUUUGUACAAACCAAAUCACACACAGACUCUCCCUCUCUCUUUCUCUCCAAAUCUUUCUUAGUAAUUCCAUUAAAAUCCCAAUUUCAAUCUCUCUCUCCUCUCCAUCUCCACCAUGGAAGAUUCUCCUUCUCCUUCUCCUUCUCCUUCUCCAACUUCCUUCCUCUCUCCCAAUCACCCUCUCAGCUCUCCCGAACUAGAAUUCUCCGACGACAUCGAAAUGACCCCUCUUCAAUCCUACACCAGCCUCAAAGACCUCCUCCCCGACUCCCCUUCUCCGCCCCCAUCCGCCACCUCCCCAGCCUUCGACCAACUCCCCAUCAAGAACCCUCUUGUCAAACACGCCGCCCUCGCCUACCUUCAGCCCAUGCUCACCCCACCCACCACCUCCCACCCUACCUUUCUCCGUAUCCUCAAGAAGCACGGUUUUGGUUGCAUCGAGUGGCUCGCCGCCGUCGUCCAUGAAGUUCGUCGUGUUUGAGAUUCCGAUGAAGCUUCAUUCUCUAGUAGUUGACUGGCGGAUAGGAAAAAAAAAAAAAAAACAGAAACUUUCAUGUAUUUUCCUUUUUUUUUUUUUCUUUUGAAGAAAACACAAUAUUUUAUUUUACAAAAUAUUUAUGUCAUUUUCCCUUUAUUUUUCUUUGGGAGUGAUCGAUCAAUGUAGUGAUGUGUAAUUAAAACUGAGAUUUAUUUGUAUAAUGUUAUAAUAUAUAUAUAUAUAUAUUAUAUUAAUAUCAUGAUUUUGUGGAUGUAUAUGAUUUGUAGCAAAUUUUAUUCCACUUUGUUUGGUGAAAUAUUUAUAAUGUUUUUGCUUAUUGACGCGUGUCAAUAUUUUAUAAUGGGCAAACCAAGACUUUUUGACAAUUAAAAAAUAAAAGAAAAUUAAAUUAAAUUAAAUAAAUAAAUAAGUAAAAGGAAAGAAAUGUUUUAAUUAAUU
rnacentral:lncRNA from 1 species